rnacentral:rRNA from 1 species
GACGAACGCUGGCGGCAUGCCUAAUACAUGCAAGUCGAGCGAACAGAUGAAGUGCUUGCACUUCUGACGUUAGCGGCGAACGGGUGAGUAACACGUAAGGAAUCUACCUAUAAGCGGGGGAUAACAUACGGAAACGGGUGCUAAUACCGCAUAAUAUCUUCUUCCGCAUGGAAGAAGAUUGAAAGACGGCUCUGCUGUCACUUAUAGAUGACCUUGCGGUGCAUUAGUUAGUUGGUGGGGUAACGGCCUACCAAGACGAUGAUGCAUAGCCGACCUGAGAGGGUGAUCGGCCACAUUGGGACUGAGACACGGCCCAAACUCCUACGGGAGGCAGCAGUAGGGAAUCUUCCGCAAUGGGCGAAGGCCUGACGGAGCAAUGCCGCGUGAGUGAAGAAGGCCUUCGGGUCGUAAAACUCUGUUAUAAGAGAAGAACAAAUUGUAGAGUAACUGCUACAGUCUUGACGGUAUCUUAUCAGAAAGCCACGGCUAACUACGUGCCAGCCGCCGCAGUAA